GAUGAACGCUGGCGGCGUGCCUAAUACAUGCAAGUCGAGCGAACGGACGAGAAGCUUGCUUCUCUGAUGUUAGCGGCGGACGGGUGAGUAACACGUGGAUAACCUACCUAUAAGACUGGGAUAACUUCGGGAAACCGGAGCUAAUACCGGAUAAUAUUUUGAACCGCAUGGUUCAAAAGUGAAAGACGGUCUUGCUGUCACUUAUAGAUGGAUCCGCGCUGCAUUAGCUAGUUGGUAAGGUAACGGCUUACCAAGGCAACGAUGCAUAGCCGACCUGAGAGGGUGAUCGGCCACACUGGAACUGAGACACGGUCCAGACUCCUACGGGAGGCAGCAGUAGGGAAUCUUCCGCAAUGGGCGAAAGCCUGACGGAGCAACGCCGCGUGAGUGAUGAAGGUCUUCGGAUCGUAAAACUCUGUUAUUAGGGAAGAACAUAUGUGUAAGUAACUGUGCACAUCUUGACGGUACCUAAUCAGAAAGCCACGGCUAACUACGUGCCAGCAGCCGCGGUAAUACGUAGGUGGCAAGCGUUAUCCGGAAUUAUUGGGCGUAAAGCGCGCGUAGGCGGUUUUUUAAGUCUGAUGUGAAAGCCCACGGCUCAACCGUGGAGGGUCAUUGGAAACUGGAAAACUUGAGUGCAGAAGAGGAAAGUGGAAUUCCAUGUGUAGCGGUGAAAUGCGCAGAGAUAUGGAGGAACACCAGUGGCGAAGGCGACUUUCUGGUCUGUAACUGACGCUGAUGUGCGAAAGCGUGGGGAUCAAACAGGAUUAGAUACCCUGGUAGUCCACGCCGUAAACGAUGAGUGCUAAGUGUUAGGGGGUUUCCGCCCCUUAGUGCUGCAGCUAACGCAUUAAGCACUCCGCCUGGGGAGUACGACCGCAAGGUUGAAACUCAAAGGAAUUGACGGGGACCCGCACAAGCGGUGGAGCAUGUGGUUUAAUUCGAAGCAACGCGAAGAACCUUACCAAAUCUUGACAUCCUUUGACAACUCUAGAGAUAGAGCUUUCCCCUUCGGGGGACAAAGUGACAGGUGGUGCAUGGUUGUCGUCAGCUCGUGUCGUGAGAUGUUGGGUUAAGUCCCGCAACGAGCGCAACCCUUAAGCUUAGUUGCCAUCAUUAAGUUGGGCACUCUAAGUUGACUGCCGGUGACAAACCGGAGGAAGGUGGGGAUGACGUCAAAUCAUCAUGCCCCUUAUGAUUUGGGCUACACACGUGCUACAAUGGACAAUACAAAGGGCAGCGAAACCGUGAGGUCAAGCAAAUCCCAUAAAGUUGUUCUCAGUUCGGAUUGUAGUCUGCAACUCGACUACAUGAAGCUGGAAUCGCUAGUAAUCGUAGAUCAGCAUGCUACGGUGAAUACGUUCUCGGGUCU
rnacentral:rRNA from 1 species